rnacentral:lncRNA from 1 species
CCCCGGCCUCUGGUUUUUGUCCCCGCCAGCGGCUCCGACUCCAUCGCGUCCUCUUCCAGUCUAGUGCUUUUUUCCAGAUCUCGAUCCCAAACUCCCUCCUGCCAGAAUCUGGACCCGAAUCCACCCAUUGCCCGUUUUCCGCUGCCGCUGGAGAGAAUCUCUGAGGUCCCCAGGAGAGCCUGCCUGCACGGAAGAGACGCCUCCUCGAUACCUGGGAGAGAGGAUUUUUCAUGUUACCAACACAAAGAAAUGAUAAAGUGCUUCCCUUGCAGGUGAAAUGGCCACCAGACCCAGGCUUUCUGGAAUGCAUUCAUUUUCUGCAGUUGAAAGGGACAAUCCCGGAUCUGAAAGAAAGAGCCACAGUGACUCCAAGAGUGGAGCCAGGGCAUGCUGGACACUGCAUAGCUAUGGCCACGUGUGUCACCUCCGAGGGAGAUGUGAGAGAAACGCAGAGGGAUCGCUUGUGACUGUGCCUUCUCGAUGUAUGAUGGACUGUUCUGCUCAAAUAGUAAGUGUGACCAAGGAGCCGGUGAACAUAGGAAACAAAGAAUAUUUCAUUUGACAUUAUAAGGAAUGCGACAAUUCUAGUCACUUGAAAGUGAACUAUAUCUGUCGAGAAUUCCUAGUUUUAAUUGGGAAGAAAUGUGCUUCUCUUCUUGAAAAGCCACAGGUUAUUGCUGUUAUGUCUAAUAUCAGUCCUCUCUGGAUUUCUCAAAAGAUUUUCUGUAUAUCCUACCAUUUUCCUUCUGUUGCUGCAGUUUGGAAGUAGUUUGUUAUCAGGAUUAUCAAAGCAUCAUUGCUAUUUAUGACAAUGACUUUAAGAAAUGCAAGAAUAUUUGGAACACUGUAGAAAAAAUAUUUUAGCCUGGAAGGCAAAUACUAAUUUCAGGAACUAUUGAUCUGUUAUAAAACAGGACCACUCAGACAUUUAGCUCUAAGACUUUCACAUAUCCGUUGUUAGAGGCGUAUAGUGGGGGGCAUGACUCAGCUUCUGCUUAAGUACAAGGUGUUGUCUGCAGCGAAGGAAGAAUUUGAUUGUAGUAUCAACAGAACCAGACAGAACUCUUUGAAUAUAAUUAUAUAUCUUGGAAACUGACUCAUCAAAGCUAUUAGAUUACAUGGCAUCAUUUAAGCAUCACUGGGCUCUGUACUUUUCAUUAUCUGUACUUUUCAUUAUGGAGUAUAAUAGGCUUUAUUUGGUACAGAAAUUGGGUCUAAGAUGAAACAACUUGUGAUUUUUGAAUAAACUUUUGGGGAUUAGUUACUUUGAUGUUGUCAAGAUAGCACCAUAGUAAGUCCUCUGUCUUUCCUCUUGAUUUAUUUAUAAUUUAGAAUCAGUUUAUGAUUUUAAAAAAUGUGACAGACACAGUGGCAUGCACCAGUAGUACCAGCCACAUGGGAAACUGAGGCAGAAGGAUCACUUGAUCCCAGAAGAUAGAGACCACCCUGGGCAACAUAGUGAGAGCCCCAUCUCAAAAAAAAAAAAAAAUCAAUUCCCAAUACCAUUCCAGAACACUUUUAAUAUAACCAGAUGAAAUUGUGAUCACUACUUUACUGUAAUGUUUAAAAUGGUCCUCAGUCCAUAUUUAAGUACAAUCUUAGUGUUUCUGUGCAACCUAAUAUAUUAGAAACAAAAAUUGUAUUGCAUUUGAAUAGGAAAUACUCUGAAUUGAGGGUUAUUUCUUUUAACAGUUGCAAUUAGAUUGGUUAGUGACAAUUAUCUGUAAUUUUCAGGCAAUGCCUAGGCAAGUGCCCAAGGCACAGUAGCCUCCUCCUUGCCUCCGUGUGUGUGUGUGUGUGUGUGUGUGUGUGUGUGUAGGGUGGUAACAUUUCUGGGAAUUUGUCUUAACAUAAAAUGAUACCACCUUUCACAAAACGACCUAGAGGAAGUUGGAAAUCCCACUAUCCUGGCUUCCUGCUGAGCAAUAUCUGCUUCUCUUUCUGACUCAGGCUGAUGCAUCUGUAUACUUAGCUUCACUUCUCCAGUAAAUAAGGGAGAGCUUUAUUAUAAAAGACAACUUCUAUUGAUUUUCAAGGGGGUGGGUGGUUGUCAAGCUCACUCCUUUCUAUGCACUGAGGGAAAAUUAUUGUAAGCGAUCUGUAAAACAAUAGAUGAAAAAAGAGGAGAUAAAAAUUAAAUAAAAUUUAAAUAAAAACUAGGAUCCUAAGUGGAAAAAUAGCUUUAAAUUAGAAAUUGAUACCAAAAAAUAAUGAUAUGUAAUCUAAGGUGAAAAUAUUUUGAAGACUAUCACGAUAUCUCCCUUAAAUGUUAUUUAGUUCUGAAAAAUAUGUAUUGAAGAACUGUUAUAUUUUACUUUAUGUC